GACGAACGCUGGCGGCGUGCUUAACACAUGCAAGUCGAACGGAAAGGCCCUGCUUUUGUGGGGUGCUCGAGUGGCGAACGGGUGAGUAACACGUGAGUAACCUGCCCUUGACUUUGGGAUAACUUCAGGAAACUGGGGCUAAUACCGGAUAGGAGCUCCUGCUGCAUGGUGGGGGUUGGAAAGUUUCGGCGGUUGGGGAUGGACUCGCGGCUUAUCAGCUUGUUGGUGGGGUAGUGGCUUACCAAGGCUUUGACGGGUAGCCGGCCUGAGAGGGUGACCGGCCACAUGGGGACGGGGAUACGGCCCGGACUCCUACGGGAGGCAGCAGUGGGGAAUAUUGCACAAUGGGCGGAAGCCGGAGGCAGCACCGCCGCGUGCGGGAUGACGGCCUUCGGGUUGUAAACCGCUUUCGCCUGUGACGAAGCGUGAGUGACGGUAAUGGGUAAAGAAGCACCGGCUAACUACGU
rnacentral:rRNA from 1 species